rnacentral:rRNA from 1 species
GAUGAACGCUGACAGAAUGCUUAACACAUGCAAGUCUUUGGCGAAGCUGUGCUUGCACCGCCUAGCCAAGGCGGACGGGUGAGUAACGCGUAAGGAACUUGCCCUGCAGUCAGGGAUAACAGACGGAAACGACUGAUAAGACCUGGUAAAGUCAGGCGGACUCAUGUCCAGCCUGAUGAAAAGAGAUGCUGCAGGAGAGCCUUGCGUCCUAUUAGCUUGUUGGUGGGGUAACGGCCCACCAAGGCGAUGAGAGGUAGCCGGCCUGAGGGGGUGGACGGCCACAAGGGGACUGAGAUACGGCCAUUACUCCUACGGGAGGCAGCAGGGGGGAAUAUUGGACAAGGGGGGCAACCCUGAUCCAGCAAUUCUGUGUGCACGAUGAAGGUUUUCGGAGUGUAAAGUGCUUUCAGCAGGGAAGAAAAAAAUGACGGUACCUGCAGAAGAAGCGACGGCUAAAUACGUG